CGGCGAUGUCCGAAUGGGGAAACCCAGUGCAAUUCGUUGCACUAUCGUUAACUGAAUACAUAGGUUAACGAGGCGAACCGGGGGAACUGAAACAUCUAAGUACCCCGAGGAAAAGAAAUCAACCGAGAUUCCCCCAGUAGCGGCGAGCGAACGGGGAGCAGCCCAGAGUCUGAAUCAGCUUGUGUGUUAGUGGAACGGUCUGGAAAGUCCGACGGUACAGGGUGAUAGUCCCGUACACCAAAAUGCACAGGCUGUGAACUCGAAGAGUAGGGCGGGACACGUGGUAUCCUGUCUGAAUAUGGGGGGACCAUCCUCCAAGGCUAAAUACUCCUGACUGACCGAUAGUGAACCAGUACCGUGAGGGAAAGGCGAAAAGAACCCCGGCGAGGGGAGUGAAAAAGAACCUGAAACCGUGUACGUACAAGCAGUGGGAGCACCUUCGGGUGUGACUGCGUACCUUUUGUAUAAUGGGUCAGCGACUUAUAUUCUGUAGCAAGGUUAACCGUAUAGGGGAGCCGCAGGGAAACCGAGUCUUAACUGGGCGUUAAGUUGCAGGGUAUAGACCCGAAACCCGGUGAUCUAGCCAUGGGCAGGUUGAAGGUUGGGUAACACUAACUGGAGGACCGAACCGACUAAUGUUGAAAAAUUAGCGGAUGACUUGUGGCUGGGGGUGAAAGGCCAAUCAAACCGGGAGAUAGCUGGUUCUCCCCGAAAGCUAUUUAGGUAGCGCCUCGUGAACUCAUCUUCGGGGGUAGAGCACUGUUUCGGCUAGGGGGUCAUCCCGACUUACCAACCCGAUGCAAACUACGAAUACCGAAGAAUGUUAUCACGGGAGACACACGGCGGGUGCUAACGUCCGUCGUGAAGAGGGAAACAACCCAGACCGCCAGCUAAGGUCCCAAAGUCAUGGUUAAGUGGGAAACGAUGUGGGAAGGCACAGACAGCCAGGAUGUUGGCUUAGAAGCAGCCAUCAUUUAAAGAAAGCGUAAUAGCUCACUGGUCGAGUCGGCCUGCGCGGAAGAUGUAACGGGGCUAAACCAUGCACCGAAGCUGCGGCAGCGACACUAUGUGUUGUUGGGUAGGGGAGCGUUCUGUAAGCCUGCGAAGGUGUGCUGUGAGGCAUGCUGGAGGUAUCAGAAGUGCGAAUGCUGACAUAAGUAACGAUAAAGCGGGUGAAAAGCCCGCUCGCCGGAAGACCAAGGGUUCCUGUCCAACGUUAAUCGGGGCAGGGUGAGUCGACCCCUAAGGCGAGGCCGAAAGGCGUAGUCGAUGGGAAACAGGUUAAUAUUCCUGUACUUGGUGUUACUGCGAAGGGGGGACGGAGAAGGCUAUGUUAGCCGGGCGACGGUUGUCCCGGUUUAAGCAUGUAGGCUGAUUGUCCAGGCAAAUCCGGAUAAUCAAGGCUGAGGUGUGAUGACGAGGCACUACGGUGCUGAAGUAACAAAUGCCCUGCUUCCAGGAAAAGCCUCUAAGCAUCAGGUAACAUCAAAUCGUACCCCAAACCGACACAGGUGGUCAGGUAGAGAAUACCAAGGCGCUUGAGAGAACUCGGGUGAAGGAACUAGGCAAAAUGGUGCCGUAACUUCGGGAGAAGGCACGCUGGUGUGUAGGUGAAGUCCCUGCGGAUGGAGCUGAGACCAGUCGAAGAUACCAGCUGGCUGCAACUGUUUAUUAAAAACACAGCACUGUGCAAACACGAAAGUGGACGUAUACGGUGUGACGCCUGCCCGGUGCCGGAAGGUUAAUUGAUGGGGUUAUCCGUAAGGAGAAGCUCUUGAUCGAAGCCCCGGUAAACGGCGGCCGUAACUAUAACGGUCCUAAGGUAGCGAAAUUCCUUGUCGGGUAAGUUCCGACCUGCACGAAUGGCGUAAUGAUGGCCAGGCUGUCUCCACCCGAGACUCAGUGAAAUUGAACUCGCUGUGAAGAUGCAGUGUACCCGCGGCAAGACGGAAAGACCCCGUGAACCUUUACUAUAGCUUGACACUGAACAUUGAGCCUUGAUGUGUAGGAUAGGUGGGAGGCUUUGAAGCGUGGACGCCAGUCUGCGUGGAGCCAACCUUGAAAUACCACCCUUUAAUGUUUGAUGUUCUAACGUUGGCCCCUUACCGGGGUUGCGGACAGUGUCUGGUGGGUAGUUUGACUGGGGCGGUCUCCUCCCAAAGCGUAACGGAGGAGCACGAAGGUUAGCUAAUCCUGGUCGGACAUCAGGAGGUUAGUGCAAUGGCAUAAGCUAGCUUGACUGCGAGCGUGACGGCGCGAGCAGGUGCGAAAGCAGGUCAUAGUGAUCCGGUGGUUCUGAAUGGAAGGGCCAUCGCUCAACGGAUAAAAGGUACUCCGGGGAUAACAGGCUGAUACCGCCCAAGAGUUCAUAUCGACGGCGGUGUUUGGCACCUCGAUGUCGGCUCAUCACAUCCUGGGGCUGAAGUAGGUCCCAAGGGUAUGGCUGUUCGCCAUUUAAAGUGGUACGCGAGCUGGGUUUAGAACGUCGUGAGACAGUUCGGUCCCUAUCUGCCGUGGGCGCUGGAGAAUUGAGGGGGGCUGCUCCUAGUACGAGAGGACCGGAGUGGACGCAUCACUGGUGUUCGGGUUGUCAUGCCAAUGGCACUGCCCGGUAGCUAAAUGCGGAAGAGAUAAGUGCUGAAAGCAUCUAAGCACGAAACUUGCCCCGAGAUGAGUUCUCCCUGAGACUUUAAGUCUCCUGAAGGAACGUUGAAGACGACGACGUUGAUAGGCCGGGUGUGUAAGCGCAGCGAUGCGUUGAGCUAACCGGUACUAAUGAACCGUGAGGCUUAACCUU
rnacentral:rRNA from 1 species